UACGAAGGGUGCAAGCGUUACUCGGAAUUACUGGGCGUAAAGCGUGCGUAGGUGGUGCGUUAAGUCUGUCGUGAAAGCCCCGGGCUCAACCUGGGAAUGGCGAUGGAUACUGGCUCGCUAGAGUGCGGUAGAGGGUGGUGGAAUUCCCGGUGUAGCAGUGAAAUGCGUAGAGAUCGGGAGGAACAUCAGUUGCGAAGGCGGCCACCUGGACCAGCACUGACACUGAGGCACGAAAGCGUGGGGAGCAAACAGG
rnacentral:rRNA from 1 species